AAGCCUUGACAUUGAUUGAAUCUGGUAGAGAUACCGGAGUGCUAGUUUACUAGAACAUGAAAACAGGUGCUGCACGGCUGUCGUCAGCUCGUGUCGUGAGAUGUUGGGUUAAGUCCCGCAACGAGCGCAACCCUCGUCGUUAGUUGCUAACAGUUCGGCUGAGCACUCUAGCGAGACUGCCUUCGCAAGGAGGAGGAAGGUGAGGACGACGUCAAGUCAUCAUGGCCCUUAUGGCUUGGGCUACACACGUGCUACAAUGGGGCGUACAGAGAGUUGCGAUACCGCGAGGUGGAGCUAAUCUCAUAAAGCGUCUCUCAGUUCGGAUUGGACUCUGCAACUCGAGUCCAUGAAGCUGGAAUCACUAGUAAUCGUAGAUCAGCAAUGCUACGGUGAAUACGUUCCCGGGUCU
rnacentral:rRNA from 1 species